GGGGGAUAACUUGGGGAAACCCAAGCUAAUACCGCAUACGACCUACGGGUGAAAGGGGGCUUUUAGCUCUCACUAUUAGAUGAGCCUAAGUCGGAUUAGCUGGUUGGUGGGGUAAAGGCCUACCAAGGCGACGAUCUGUAGCUGGUCUGAGAGGAUGAUCAGCCACACUGGGACUGAGACACGGCCCAG
rnacentral:rRNA from 1 species